ensembl:lncRNA
UGAAGGUCAGCUUCAGAGUAGAGAGCAUUUCAUGGACGUUGGCUGCUUCCUGGGGGACUGCUGUGUGGCUAGAGAUCCCUAUCACCAGUUGGGUCACACAAUUUACACGAACUGAAGAUAUGGACCGUUAUUUCUUCAUGCCUUCUCUAUCAAUGACUCCAGUUUUUCCUCUAUGAAAACUAAAGAUAGGAAUGGAUUAAAUAAGAAGGCAAACAUUUGUGGUGGUAUACCGGAACUGAGCUACACAGCUCCUGCUAACCCAAAUGGGAAUCAAAAAGCUCUGUCUCUUCUAAUCUGGAUGGAAAUAUCCCCUUUCUUGCCAGAGAUCAAUUGCACUGUGUAUGACCUGGUUUCGCAGUGUCUCAUGCAGAAUGGGAGUCAUUUUUAUGACCUUGCAUGCGUUGAACUAUGAGAAAGGAAGAACAGAUACAAUGUGAAGAAAAAGAAAAAAACAAACAUCAAAUAAAAAUAUUAGCUGAAAAAGGG